AGUGAACGCUGGCGGUAGGCCUAACACAUGCAAGUCGAACGGCAGCGCAGUAAGAGCUUGCUCUUACGGGUGGCGAGUGGCGGACGGGUGAGGAAUACAUCGGAAUCUACUUUUUCGUGGGGGAUAACGUAGGGAAACUUACGCUAAUACCGCAUACGACCUACGGGUGAAAGCAGGGGAUCUUCGGACCUUGCGCGAUUGAAUGAGCCGAUGUCGGAUUAGCUAGUUGGCGGGGUAAAGGCCCACCAAGGCGACGAUCCGUAGCUGGUCUGAGAGGAUGAUCAGCCACACUGGAACUGAGACACGGUCCAGAGUCCUACGGGAGGCAGCAGUGGGGAAUAUUGGACAAUGGGCGCAAGCCUGAUCCAGCGAUACCGCGUGGGUGAAGAAGGCCUUCGGGUUGUAAAGCCCUUUUGUUGGGAAAGAAAAGCAGCAGGUUAAUACCCCGCUGUUCUGACGGUACCCAAAGAAUAAGCACCGGCUAACUUCGUG
rnacentral:rRNA from 1 species